GCAGUGCCUGUGGCCCUGAGCAGGGGCCAGGGCUGGGCAGACUGGCUGCCAGCAGGGUGAGGUUGCUGGCAGCACCACUGGGCUCUUCGAAAGAGUCAGGCACCCCAACCUUAUGCUGCUGGAAGAAGCUGCCCAGACAUCUCCUAGCCCUCCCAGGGUGUCAUUUGGAUGUGGCAUGAGCUGCUUCUCUGCUGGUAAAUGCCUCCAACCGCCCCAGGACAGGCAGAGGAUGGCUCUGGAAAGCAGCUAUUUCUGAGGGUGACCACAGGGAAUGGCCAGGGACCAGCUGGAACCCCCCUUUUCUUGGAGCCAGCACUGGAAGGAAGCGGCAAUUGCACACCCUUUGGGACCUGAGAGCCCAGACAUGUUAGCGGGAGCUGCACCAACUGCUGCAAGGGCCCCCAUCCAGUGCUGGUGUCUUGAGGCAUGGAGGGUCCCAGGGGAUCCCAGGAGCCAGCCUGGUAACCUGAGCUCAGACCUCAUACCUUCCUGAAGAGCUGAAGAAGAAG